rnacentral:rRNA from 1 species
UACGUAGGGACCGAGCGUUGUCCGGAUUCAUUGGGCGUAAAGAGCUCGUAGGCGGCCACUCAAGUCGAAUGUGAAACCUCGAGGCUUAACCUCGAGCCUGCAUUCGAUACUGGGCGGCUAGAGUCUGGUAGGGGGAUCUGGAAUUCCUGGUGUAGCGGUGGAAUGCGCAGAUAUCAGGAGGAACACCGGUGGCGAAGGCGGGAGCCUGGGCCAGUACUGACGCUGAGCCGCGAAAGCCAGGGGAGCGAACGGG